AAUUAUGUAAACAUACAGUUUAUCGAGAACCCAAUAAGCUAUGUUUUCUACAUCCAGAACUCAUUGACUCAAAAUUCUAGGCUCGAACUCUGUAUGUGUGGUUAAAAAACCACUUAAUAUGUAUACAUAUAUAGUUUAUCGAGAAUCCAAUAAGCUAUGUGUUCUACAUCGAGAACUCAGACUCAAAAAUCAAGCUCCGCCUCUGCGCUGGAGCAACUCAAAUAGACAACAAAAGCUGUCUAUUUAUAGCAUUUUAGUCCAUGAAGCCAAGAAUGGGAACAUGGAAAUCAAUAAUCUUAACAAAAGGGGCGUAUCGCUAGUCGCUUCUGGUCUACUUAACUUACCUUUUUCCACAGGUAUUUUUGCUGUUUCAGCUGAUGAUUUAUCUGAACUUUUGCUAGAUUGCAUUUCUUGAUCAAGUUCAUCCCACCCUCCGAAUCUAGAUACCUCUCGGUCAUCCUUACUAGCUGAAACGUCACUGUUGGACACCCAUGAUUGAUAGCCCGUCUUUCUCUUUCGUGUCUUGGAGCUUCCUCCUCUUCUCCAAAAGUUUGUCUUGCUUGAGUUGGGAGCAGCGCGUUGUCUCUUCUUAGCUGUACUCUUGCGCGUUGGUUUGUUUUGUAUCACGUCCAGUAUCUUUUGGAUUGCAAAGAAAAGCGUAGACUGUCCAAUGGGAAGGGCGAAUGCCAUAGCAAAAGCUUUAGCUCCUCCAGUAGAAAUCAAUACUAUUAGAAUUGGUAUUAACACAAAACCGUAGGAGCAGAAGACCUUAAAGAUCCAAAUACUUUCAAUAUACUCAGCAAAAAAUUGAGCUCCUUGUUCCAAGAAUUCCUCCUCA
rnacentral:misc_RNA from 1 species